rnacentral:rRNA from 1 species
AGAGUUUGAUCAUGGCUCAGGAUUAACGCUGGCGGUAUGCCUAACACAUGCAAGUCGAACGGAAUACUAAUUAAGAGAAUCUCACACUAGUGAGAGGUUCUCACGAGUAGUAUUUAGUGGUGGACGGGUGAGUAACACGUUGGAACCUGCCCCGAAGUGGGGAAUAACUGCUCGAAAGAGUAGCUAAUACCCCAUAGUAUCCGGUUUAUCCGGGAUUAAAGAUUUAUCGCUUCGGGAGGGGCCUGCGUCUGAUUAGCUUGUUGGUGAGGUAAAAGCUCACCAAGGCGACGAUCAGUAGCUGGUUCGAGAGGAUGACCAGCCACACUGGGACUGAGAUACGGCCCAGACUCCUACGGGAGGCAGCAGUGAGGAAUCUUCCACAAUGGACGAAAGUCUGAUGGAGCAAUACCGCGUGCAGGAAGACGCUUUUCGGAGUGUAAACUGCUUUUGUCGUCGAAGAUUAUGACUGUAGACGAAGAAUAAGGACCGGCUAACUACGUG